AGGGCGCUUACCACUUUGUGAUUCAUGACUGGGGAGAAGUCGUAUCAAGGUAACCGUAGGGGAACCUGCGGUUGGAUCACCUCCUUA
rnacentral:rRNA from 1 species